UUGACUCCCUCAUUUUGUCAAACUCGGAAGCAUUAUACAGUGUGGUGAUAGUUUUAUGCCACGCUUGCGGCCUGUCUUGUAAUUUAUAGCUGGCGUAGCAGCUUUUCUUUUCGAAAGUGGUGGUGGGAAGCACGUAGGAUACUAGCUUUGCCCUUUGUUUAUCUUCCUUCUCCCGACAUGACAUUGCCUAAGUGAUCUCGGGUCAUGGUUUCGAUCAGUCCAUUGUCAUUGGGCAGGCAUCAAGUACUGGUUUGUCAUGAGAGGGAAGAAGCUUGUUGAGCGGAGGACAUGAAAGAAGGCCGAGCAUCCAUUGCAGCCCGGCCGGUUGGAGAUUGUUGAUUGCGCUUUGGCUUGCACCGUCAACGAGUAACUUUCUUUCUUUCCUUCCGGGUGGGUAGCACCAUUGCAGCCUGCAAGUCUUCACCUGACUGGGAGGGACAAAAAACCAUGAAUGGUUUUGGAGAGAGGUCAUCAUCAGAACUAGCUUACCGUAGGGAUGGUUCUUGGAAGGACAUGGGAACAUCAAUGAGUGCCAUCUCGUUCGGUUUAGCAGCCACCGCGAUCUUGAUCUCUAUGUUCCUCGUCAUGGCCAUAUUUGAGCAUCUAAUCAAGCCAAGGGCAUCGUUUCUUCGCUCCCGAAACAAUGCACAUGGUUCGUCGGAGCUCGACCGGCCACAAGCUCAGAUUCAUCGCUCUCAGGAGAAGGUUCAGAAUUCCAUAACAGUCGGAACGCAGUGCGCAUCUGAUCUCUCUGUGUUAAUGCCGGGACAGCGGUUUCCCACUUACAUCGCACAGCCUGCUCCUCUACCUUGCCCCAGAGAGGGGAUAAUUUGGCCCUCCCAUGUUGCUCAUGUGUCCUACAUGUAGCUGAUGUGAUCUAUCGCCUAUAGCUUGGAAACAGCUGUCUGCAAUGUGAUUUGUUCAUACGAAUACGAUUUGAUUUUUCUUUCACGCUCAAAUGUAAUGCCAAAACCAAGACAUCCUUAAUCUCGGCAAGUAAUCGGGAUGUAAGCAGGUACAACAGCUGAUUUCUUGUGGGAGGAAAACCGAGGACGGGCUACUUUUCCUGUUUCCUUCUGCAGACCAUUUGAUGAGGGGAAAUGCCAAUGAAAUGAGAGUAAUCCAAAAAGCUUAAUCAACGCUACAAAAAUCUAUAAGGAAGCAGCUCAUCUACUUCUAAUGCAAGAAACUGAAGGCCAACUGGAAGGAAAAGAACGUAGCAGACACUUGAGCAAAGUCAGACCUGAGACACUAAUGCUUGAAGUUCCACAUCUGAUGAGACCAGGGAAUCGAUCAACCAUCCCAACAAAAAACCAUCUUCCUCUUGCAAUUGCUACACGAUCGAGCUUGGCCUCAUCGCCCUGUUUACAGAAGAAAGGAGAGAGCAACAUUAUUAACCAAGUGUUGUUGGAAAAUCCAAAUCUAAAGGUUCUUCAAAAGACUCGAAUUUGCUUCUUUUUAUGAUCCAGCCAUUUAUGGAUAGA